UUCUGCAAUACCCUAGCUGCUACCGCUGGCUACAGAAUAUGGAAACAAAAAUAUUAACAAGGAAAAAGCCAUGAUGCAACCAAUGUGUUUGAUGAAAUUUCUCAAUGAAAGGAAGAUCCAGCAAGUGUGUUAACCUCUUCUUAGCAAUCAAUCAAGCUCUUUACAUAGUAUUGGACACUGAUUAGAUCACUAAACUUGAUUUCUGCUGUCAUUUUGUUGAUUGGGACAAAGUAUGGAGUCGAGGAUAAAUCUAAAGCAGUAGAACAAACACUGAUCCUAAUCUACGUACAAAGAAAAAGAAGACUGGGACAUGGAAAUCGAAGAAAGACAAUCAAAAUAAGACAAUUGUUGCCAAGGUGAUGCGGACUUGAUUGCAGAACACUAAUCAGGAUGCUGAUGGAAGGUAAAUCAAAUUUUAGAACAUGUCACUGCAUCUUACCGAUGCAACUGGCACACUAUUCAAACGGAAAGAAUUUUCAGUGAGAAACGAAGAGAUGAAAUUGAGAGGAAGGGUGUGGUUCGUCCCUCCAUGUGGCGCUCAUCGUACAGCGCCACCGCUACCUGCAACAGUUGAUGGUCAAUGGUGAUGUAAAACAUUUACUUUAGAAGGCUAAAAUUGAGGCUCAGUUUUGCUAAAAGUUAUUAGAGGUUCCACUUCUAAUCAAAGGAUUAACAUCAGACGUCGUUUUUGAUGCAUUCAAUAAAAAUUUGGCUAAGGAAUGGGGCAUGGAAAAUGAUAUAAGAUCAAUGCUAUUAUAUCAGGCCCUUUUAUAUGAUACUGCGUGAAUGGAAUUGCUUCUAGCUAUGCAGCUUGAAGCAAACAUUUUCUACUUUAUUCUUUCCUGUCUUCAUGCUUUCUUUCCAGUACUAAUCUGAAGAGAAGAAGCAUCCAAGACCACGACAAAAAUAGGAAUAUGGAAAAGUCAAAGCUGCAUUACUGCCCUCAAUUGCUAGAUGAGAGGUUACUGAGGCUACUGAUAUGUUACAUAUAUGUAUUGAAUUUUACUGGGCCAGCACUUUUAAGUAGUUACUCUCUCACCUUUAAGUUGCGUGAAGCUAAAAUAUUCCUCCUUUUCUUAAUGAAGGCACAUACAUUCUUUUGUUGCCCCGAAUUGGGCUACUACUAUGUCUCUAUGCUCAAAUCUUGAUCCUAUUUUGGGGUUGUCUUUUUUAGUUCUUAGAUACUUUUUUACGAGUUCAGCUGAUUUUGUAAAUAUUUGGCUUCCAUGUAUUGGAAUAUUUUGCAGUUGGCGUGUUGUGACUUCUCUAAGCAUUUGUAUUUGUAUUCUUACUCUUUCACGUAUAUCAAAGUCGCUUUAUGUACAAUGUAAAGAUGCAUGAAUUACAGUGGGCUUAAGUUCAAUGGAUUUGUAAAUAACUGUGUGGGAAAUGAAUAAUGAAAUUGGUGAUAAGAAUUUUAUAGUGAUGUACAGUAGAACUGACAACAUGCACAACUUCAUUCUACUUGGUAGCAUUUGAACUGCCAUUACUCUAAUGUCAUAUAAAUAAGGAGGAAAAAUCAUAUUUUCGUGAAUUGAUAUAAACUUACCCCAGAUGACAGUUAAUUGGGUUCAUUUGUUUGCUUAUAUUUGAUGUAGUGUUACUUACUUCAAGCAUCUCCUUUUAAUGUAAAUAGCAAGCCACUUCAGCUAUGGGCGUAUAGAGAAUGGGAGAUGAAAUUAUUUAACAGGGAAUUCUACAGGCUAUAAUGAAUUAUUCAAUUGCAGGGAAAUACAACAAUGACUAAAGAAUUAUGUUGUUGAAUACUGCACUAAGAGUUGAGAACCUCGAAUUUUGAAGAUGGUUUCUAGGAAAGACAACUGCAGACAGGACUUCGCAACAUAUGCAGAGGCAUGACAUGGUGAAGCAUUGGAUCACACUCAACAAACCUUAUACAUAUUUAUAGUACAAGGUUAUGAUCUCGGCAGCCAGUCAUCACAGGGGCGAUGAUAUAUCCUUCUUCAUGCCUUUUAUAAAGAAGAAAACAGUGGCAGGUUCGAACCUUACAUUGCUGCACACAAUGGCCUCUUGGUUCAUACAACUGCAGUGAGCAUUUUAGAAAGAAGUAUCAGGCAGUUAAUACAUAUACUUUCACUAACAUUGAAUUCUUUGAGACUUGAGUCGGGAUAUAUAAGUUAUCACUCUUGAGAUUGAAAGUGUCUCACGAUGUAAAUCUAUAUUUACUAUUAGAUUAUUUCAUUUUGAUAUCCAUCAGGUGUGUAUGUGUGUAUGACUUUAUAUGCCUCAAACUCAAAUCUAUGCAGGACUAUUGCAAGAAUACUCUUUUGAUUUCAUCA